rnacentral:rRNA from 1 species
CAGUAGCCGCGGUAAUGCGGAGGGUGCUAGCGUUGUUUGGAAUUACUGGGCGUAAAGCGCACGUAGGCGGCUUGGUAAGUUAGAGGUGAAAGCCUGGAGCUCAACUCCAGAAUUGCCUUUAAGACUGCCGAGCUAGCAGGUGAGAGAGGUAAGUGGAAUUCCGAGUGUAGAGGUGAAAUUCGUAGAUAUUCGAAAGAACACCAGUGGCGAAGGCGGCUUACUGGCUCAUACUGGACGCUGAGGUGCGAAAGCGUGGGGAGCAAACAGGAUUAGAUACCCCGGUAGUCCCUGUCUCUUAUAC